rnacentral:rRNA from 1 species
UACGGGGGGGGCAAGCGUUGUUCGGAAUUACUGGGCGUAAAGGGUUCGUAGGUGGCUUGCUCAGUCAGACGUGAAAUCCCUCAGCUUAACUGGGGAACUGCAUUCGAUACUGCCGUGCUUGAGGACUGGAGAGGAGACUGGAAUUUACGGUGUAGCGGUGAAAUGCGUAGAUAUCGUAAGGAAGACCAGUGGCGAAGGCGGGUCUCUGGACAGUUCCUGACGCUGAGGCACGAAGGCCAGGGGAGCAAACGGG